rnacentral:rRNA from 1 species
UGGUGGAGUGAUUUGUCUGGUUAAUUCCGAUAACGAACGAGACUCUGUCCUGCUAACUAGGUUGUGUUUUCUCGGGUUGGUGUUCUGGUGUUCCUUCUCGGGGCGCCGGCCCAAUCCACUUGUGAACACAACACUCUUCUUAGAGG